UACGUAGGUGGCAAGCGUUGUCCGGAAUUACUGGGCGUAAAGGAUGCGUAGGCGGAUAUGUAAGUCAGAUGUGAAAUACCCGGGCUCAACUUGGGUGCUGCAUUUGAAACUGCAUGUCUAGAGUGCGGGAGAGGAAAGUGGAAUUCCUAGUGUAGCGGUGAAAUGCGUAGAGAUUAGGAAGAACACCAGUGGCGAAGGCGACUUUCUGGACCGUAACUGACGCUGAGGCAUGAAAGCGUGGGUAGCAAAC
rnacentral:rRNA from 1 species